rnacentral:tRNA from 1 species
AGCUGGAUAGCUCAGUCGGUAAAGCAUAAGACUCUUAAUCUCAGGGCUGUAUGUUCAAGCCCCAUGUUGGGUA